rnacentral:rRNA from 1 species
UACAGAGGGUGCAAGCGUUUAAUCGGAAUUACUGGGCGUAAAGCGUGCGUAGACGGUUAUGUAAGUCAGAUGUGAAAGCCCCGGGCUUAACCUGGGAAUGGCAUUUGAGACUGCAUAGCUAGGGUGCGGAAGAGGGAAGCGGAAUUUCCGGUGUAGCGGUGAAAUGCGUAGAGAUGUGGAGGAACACCGAUGGCGAAGGCAGCCCCCUGGGUCAAGACUGACGCUCAUGCACGAAAGCUGGG